rnacentral:lncRNA from 10 species
GCCGGAGGUGCCUGUGAUUAGUCGGCAUUUCGCGGCUGAGGCUGAUUCAGCCCAUUACAUCAAUUCCGCAGCUGCUGUCUUCAAUUUGGAGGCGCCAGAGAGUGCUUGAUCUAAAAGAUGAGCACAUUCAGCUUACUCACCGUGGUUACCUCUUGAAAGCAACUUAGAGGCCGGUCGCGGUGGCUCAAGCCUGUAAUCCCAACACUUUGGGAGGCCAAGGCGGGCGGAUCAUUUGAGACCAGGAGUGUGAGGCCAGACUGGCCAAAAUGGUGAGAUGAGACCCCGUCUCUGCUAAAAAUACAAAAAUGAGCUGGACAUGAUGGCUUGUAAUCCCAGCUACUCGAGAGUGUGAGUCAGGAGAAUCGCUUGAACCCCGGAGGCUGAGGUUGCGGUGAGAAAUUGCACCGCUGCACUCCAGCAUAGACCACAAAGCAAGACUCCGUCCCAAAAAAAAAAAAAAAAAAUCCUGAUUGUUUCUAUUCAGUAAUUACAUUUGUAGGAAAUUAUUCCAUGAAAAUAAACAUAAAUAAUUCCUCUGUAUUAGUAUAACAGUGAAAAACUAAAAGCAAUAUAAAAAUCCA